rnacentral:rRNA from 1 species
UACGGAGGAUCCGAGCGUUAUCCGGAAUUAUUGGGUUUAAAGGGUUCGUAGGCGGCUGAGUAAGUCGGUGGUGAAAUCUUGCAGCUUAACUGUAAAAUUGCCGUUGAUACUGCAUGGCUUGAAUAGUAUGGAAGUAAUUAGAAUAUGUAGUGUAGCGGUGAAAUGCUUAGAUAUUACAUGGAAUACCAAUUGCGAAGGCAGAUUACUACGUAUUUAUUGACGCUGAUGAACGAAAGCGUGGGUAGCGAAC